rnacentral:tRNA from 1 species
GCGGACGUGGCGGAAUUGGCAGACGCGCCAGGUUUAGGUCCUGGUGGGGGCAACCCCGUGAAGGUUCGAGUCCUUUCGUCCGCACCA